GGCACUGUAGCGCAAUGGAUAGCGCGUUGGACUUCUAAUUCAAAAGUUGUGGGUUCGAACCCCCCUGGGAUGGCCU
rnacentral:tRNA from 1 species